GGGCAUUGACUAGAGCAGUGAAGUCAGGUAUAGUUUCUGACAUCGCUAUGCACAGGAUUGCUGAGAGGUGUGAGUCAGGAAGAGAUUAUCUGUGCCUUGACUUGUUAUAUUUCAUCACUGAAAAUGUCUGUUCACAUACAUAGGUUACCCAAACAGUACCAACAUCUUCUGAGUGUCAAGAUCGUCGUAUGAACUGGAAAUAUACUGCAGCAUGAUUUGGGUACCACAUGUUUAAUAAAGGAAACUCACUAAACCAAUAAACUGCAAAUGAACCGUGAAGUUCAAGCAGUGCUCACCAGCAGCAACACAGAAACUAGAUCCCACAAAACACAGUGGGGAAAUGGCUGCCUAAAUAUGAUCCCCAAUCAGAGACAACGAUAAACAGCUGCCUCUGAUUGGGAACCAUACCAGGCCAACAUAGAAAUAAAUGCACUAGAUCACCCACCCUAGUCACACCCCGACCUAACCAAAAUAGAGAACAAAAAAGGCUCUCUAUGGUCAGGGCGUGACACUGGGCAUGAUUCCUAAUCUUUGGAUAGUUGUGUUCAUCAAGAGAUGCAUAGAACCUCGUCAGUGACAUUGUUUUGAAUAGUUCUCCAAUCACUGCAUCAGACUGAAGAUCGAUAAACUCAAGUUGCAGGUCAGUGGGAGCGUUAUCCACAUUGAAGGUGAAAGGAGAGAAAACCAACAGCAUGUCAUUUUCCAACACUUAAUCCUCAAAAUUAUGAGAAAACUCACCUUUCAAAGCGCGCAGCAGAGAUGUAUACUUCACCCACUGGUCAUCUGAUAGGGAACAGACUAGUAGUGUCAGAAGGUCAUCUGAUAGGGAACAGACUAGUAGUGUCGGUAGGUCAUCUGAUAGGGAACAGACUAGUAGUGUCAGGUCAUCUGAUAGGGUACAGACUAGUAGUGUCAGGUCAUCUGAUAGGGAACAGACUAGUAGUGUCAGAAGGUCAUCUGAUAGGGAACAGACUAGUAGCGUCAGAAGGUCAUCUGAUAGGGAACAGACUAGUAGUGUCAGGUCAUCUGAUAGGGUACAGACUAGUAGUGUC
ensembl:lncRNA